GACGAACGCUGGCGGCGUGCUUAACACAUGCAAGUCGAACGGACAGACAGAGAGCUUGCUCUCUUGAAGUUAGUGGCGAACGGGUGAGUAACGCGUAAUCAACCUGCCCUUCAGAGGGGGAUAACAACGGGAAACCGUUGCUAAUACCGCGUACGAUUCACAGGCGGCAUCGCUUGUGAAUGAAAGGUGGCCUCUAUAUAUAAGCUAUCGCUGAAGGAGGGGAUUGCGUCUGAUUAGCUAGUUGGAGGGGUAACGGCCCACCAAGGCAAUGAUCAGUAGCCGGUCUGAGAGGAUGAACGGCCACAUUGGGACUGAGACACGGCCCAAACUCCUACGGGAGGCAGCAGUGGGGAAUCUUCCGCAAUGGACGAAAGUCUGACGGAGCAACGCCGCGUGAGUGAUGAAGGUCUUCGGAUUGUAAAGCUCUGUUAAUCGGGACGAAAGAGUUCUGUGUGAAUAAUGCAGAAAAGUGACG
rnacentral:rRNA from 1 species